rnacentral:rRNA from 1 species
AACGUAGGAGACAAACGUUAUCCGGAAUUACUGGGCGUAAAGGGCGCGUAGGCGGCCCUCUAAGUCGAACGUGAAAUCCCCGGGCUCAACCCGGGAACUGCGUCCGAUACUGGAGGGCUCGAAUCCGGGAGAGGGAUGUGGAAUUCCAGGUGUAGCGGUGAAAUGCGUAGAUAUCUGGAGGAACACCGGUGGCGAAGGCGGCAUCCUGGACCGGUAUUGACGCUGAGGCGCGAAAGCCAGGGGAGCAAACGGG